CAGAGGGUCCAAGCGUUGUCCGGAAUCACUGGGUGUAAAGGGUGCGUAGGCGGGCUUGUAAGUCAGAGGUGAAAGCCCACGGCUUAACCGUGGAACUGCCUUUGAUACUGCAGGCCUUGAGUCCUGGAGAGGCUGCCGGAAUUCGUGGUGUAGCGGUGAAAUGCGUAGAUAUCACGAGGAACACCGGAUGCGUAGGCGGGCAGCUGGACAGGUACUGACGCUGAGGCACGAAAGCGUGGGAGCGAACAGGAUU
rnacentral:rRNA from 1 species